rnacentral:rRNA from 1 species
GUAGGGAAUAUUGGACAAUGGGGGCAACCCUGAUCCAGCGACGCCGCGUGAGUGAUGAAGGCCUUCGGGUCGUAAAGCUCUGUUGCAGGGGAAGAACACAAUGACGGUACCCUGCUAGAAAGGAUCGGCUAACUUCGUGCCAGCAGCCGCGGUAAGACGAGGGAUCCUAGCGUUGUUCGGAAUUAUUGGGCGUAAAGCGGGUGCAGGUGGCUUGGUAAGUCAGAUGUGAAAGCCUGGUGCUUAACGGCAGAAGUGCAUUUGAUACUGCUGAGCUUGAGUGCUGGAGAGGCUAUUAGAAUUCCUGGUGUAGUGGUGAAAUACGUAGAUAUCAGGAGGAAUACCGGAGGCGAAGGCGGAUAGCUGGCCAGACACUGACACUCAGACCCGAAAGCGUGGGGAUCAAACAGGAUUAGAAACCCCUGUAGUCC